CCCCCAUCUGGUAGUAAGCUGGCAAUAGGCACAAUCAUGCCUCAAGGAUUCCCUCCUCACUCCAAACCAAGCCCAGAGAAAGAAGAGGGGAAAGGAGAAGGAAGCAGGCUGCGGGGGCCAAUGUGGAUAAGGAACUGAGAUGCAGAGAGCUUCAGAAACUUGCCAAGGCUGGAAGAGAUGGUGCCAGGCAAUCUGACUGGAGACCCUGCAGUCUUCCUUGGGGAUUCCAAGGAUGAGAACAGGAAUACCUGCACUCAGAGAAACCAAGAGCCUGAGGGAUCGAGUCACUCAUACAGUAGAACCAACAAGUUUCAGAUCCAUGCACGUUCCUGGAUGUACAACGAAUCCCUUGUUUCCAACUCUUACAAAAUGUGGUAUAGCUACCACAUCUUACCCACCUCGCGCCCAGAGAUGACAUCAAGUUCCUGGCACCACCACCACGAUUGCCACAGUGCUGGGGUGCACAAUCUUCCACAUCCCUUCCUGGGCCAGUCUGAGAGGGACCUCAGGCUUACAGGAUCUGACCUGAAUUCCAGUUCAUACCCUACUCCCCAAGACUCUCCCAGAUGGUGCGCCAUCAUAUCCUUGCACAACUUGCUGCUAUCCAGCUUCCUAAUUCCUGCCAGUCUGGUCCUUGUAAAGUGAUAUCUCACUAUUUCUUUGGCAUCACUCUGAUUAUUUAGGAAUUGGAGUAACUCUUCAUAUGUUUGGGGGACACUUAAAUUCUCUGGAUUGGCCUCAUCAGACUGAGAGUGGAAGAGGAAAGAUCAGCCCACUUAACCAGCCUGAGCCAUCACCUGCCUGCAGGAAUAGAUGUUCCCCUUGCCUAGUGCUGCAAGUGGAGUAGAGCAGAGAAUACAUCAUGCAAUUCCAGGGGAGGCCAGAUAAAAGCAGCUUAAAGGCGGCCUGGGCUUGUUGAGAACCAGGCAAUGUUAUACAUUUUUCCACCCUUGCCCUUUUGUAUCUGGGUGAACUGGCUUCUCUAAAGGCAAUAUGACUUGCCUAAGGUCGCAUGGCUAGUAAGUGCCAAAGCCAGAUCUAGUCCCAGGACUCCUACGGGAAUCUCUUGUGACACGUGGCCACCUUUAUUUAUCUGUCUGGAGCAAUCAGAGGAGGACCCUUGGAGGAGGAACAAAUUACACUGGAUGCUGAAGGAUGGAGACCUUUCAUGAGGGCAGCCAGAGCACAUGGUAUGAGAAAGAAUUGCCAGGGCCUGGAGCACACCAGUUGUGGGGAUCUCAUCUUCCUGAAGAGAGCCUGUUGGAGGUGUUCUGGGAAGGGAGCAUAAAGAACAGCCGAGGAAAUGCAGAAUGAAUCCUCUGUCCUCGCUCCCUUGCCCCUUCUACAAAGCCCUGGGAGUCUCUCCUCCCUACGGCUCUCUGUGCCCCCAGAUUUAUUUUGCUUUCUUUCGCUAAAUCAAACUUUAUCAGACAGUUUUACUGUCAGCCAUUAAACCAAAAUGUGUUUGUGCAACAGUAAACACCUUGUUACUGCAGGGAAGGAUUACAUAAACAACAGCCGGGUGAGGCUCGAUGGGCUGUGCCCAGGAGCCUGAAGCCUCCUGGUCAGGAUGGAGGAGGCACAUGGAAGGGCACCUAGAGGCAUCCUAGAGCUGGAAGGCAGGGGAUAGGACUCACUCUGGCCUGGGCUUCCACUGCAGAACUGGGUAACAGGCAUGUAUCCUCUCAUCAGAAGAGUAGGCUGCUCCAGAGUCCUCACAGGGGACGCAGCCCUUGCCACAGACCUGGGGAGGAGCAGGAAGAAGGUACAGGGACCAGACCGGCCAGGAAGGGG
ensembl:lncRNA